rnacentral:rRNA from 1 species
UACGUAGGUGGCAAGCGUUGUCCGGAAUUACUGGGUGUAAAGGGCGUGUAGGCGGGUUUGCAAGUCAGAGGUGAAAUUCCGGGGCUCAAACCGGGCGCUGCAUCUGAAACUGUUAUUCUUGAGUGCCGGAGAGGAAAGUGGAAUUUCCAGUGUAGCGGUGAAAUGCGUAGAGAUUGGGAGGAACACCAGUGGCGAAGGCGGCUUUCUGGACGAUAACUGACGCUGAUGCGCGAAAGCGUGGGGAGCAAACAGG